GAUGAACGCUGGCGGCGUGCCUAAUACAUGCAAGUCGAGCGAACGGACGAGAAGCUUGCUUCUCUGAUGUUAGCGGCGGACGGGUGAGUAACACGUGGAUAACCUACCUAUAAGACUGGGAUAGCUUCGGGAAACCGGAGCUAAUACCGGAUAAUAUUUUGAACCGCAUGGUUCAAAAGUGAAAGACGGUCUUGCUGUCACUUAUAGAUGGAUCCGCGCUGCAUUAGCUAGUUGGUAAGGUAACGGCUUACCAAGGCAACGAUGCAUAGCCGACCUGAGAGGGUGAUCGGCCACACUGGAACUGAGACACGGUCCAGACUCCUACGGGAGGCAGCAGUAGGGAAUCUUCCGCAAUGGGCGAAAGCCUGACGGAGCAACACCGCGUGAGUGAUGAAGGUCUUCGGAUCGUAAAACUCUGUUAUUAGGGAAGAACAUAUGUGUAAGUAACUGUGCACAUCUUGACGGUACCUAAUCAGAAAGCCACGGCUAACUACGUG
rnacentral:rRNA from 1 species